ACUCAAAGGAAUAGACGGGGGCCCGCACAAGCGGCGGAGCAUGUGGAUUAAUUCGAUGCAACGCGAAGAACCUUACCUGGGUUUGACAUGGCCGCUGUAGCCGCAGAGAUGCGGUGUCCUUCGGGGGUGGUCACAGGUGGUGCAUGGCUGUCGUCAGCUCGUGUCGUGAGAUGUUGGGUUAAGUCCCGCAACGAGCGCAACCCUUGUCCGAUGUUGCCAGCGGGUUAUGCCGGGGACUCAUCGGAGACUGCCGGGGUCAACUCGGAGGAAGGUGGGGAUGACGUCAAGUCAUCAUGCCCCUUAUGUCCAGGGCUUCACACAUGCUACAAUGGCCGGUACAAAGGGCUGCGAUACCGUGAGGUGGAGCGAAUCCCAAAAAGCCGGUCUCAGUUCGGAUCGGGGUCUGCAACUCGACCCCGUGAAGUCGGAGUCGCUAGUAAUCGCAGAUCAGCAUUGCUGCGGUGAAUACGUUCCCGGGCCUUGUACACACCGCCCGU
rnacentral:rRNA from 1 species